GGGCAGGUGGUGGAAUGGCAGACACGCUAGCUUUAGGAGCUAGUGCCGCAAGGCGUGAGAGUUCGACUCUCUCCCUGCCCA
rnacentral:tRNA from 1 species